rnacentral:SRP_RNA from 1 species
GCCUGGCGUGGUGGUGCAUGCCUGUAGUCCCAGCCACUCAGGAGGCUGAGGUGGGAGGAUCGCUUGAACCCAGGAGUUCUGGGCUGUAGUGCACUAUGCUGAUUGACGUCCGUAUUAAGUUCGGCAUCAAUAUGGUGACCUCCCAGAGAGGGGGACCACCAGGUUACCUAAGGAGGGGUGAACCAGCCCAGGUCGGAAAUGGAGCAAGUCAAAACUCCCGUGCUGAUCAGUAGUGGGAUCGCACUUGUGAAUAGCCACUGCACUCCAGCCUGGGCAACAUAGAAAGACCCCUGUCUCU